rnacentral:rRNA from 1 species
CUCAGUUCGGAUCGGAGUCUGCAACCCGACUCCGUGAAGCUGGAUUCGCUAGUAAUCGCGCAUCAGCCAUGGCGCGGUGAAUACGUUCCCGGGCCUUGUACACACCGCCCGUCAAGCCAUGGAAGCCGGGGGGCGCUUGAAGUGCGUUGCCGCAAGGCGCGCCCUAGAGCAAAACCGGUGACUGGGGCUAAGUCGUAACAAGGUACC